rnacentral:rRNA from 1 species
AUUGAACGCUGGCGGCAGGCCUAACACCUGCAAGUCGAACGAGUGGCGGACGGGUGAGUAAUGUCUGGGAAACUGCCCGAUGGAGGGGGAUAACUACUGGAAACGGUAGCUAAUACCGCAUACCAUCGGAUGUGCCCAGAUGGGAUUAGCUAGUAGGUGGGGUAACGGCUCACCUAGGCGACGAUCCCUAGCUGGUCUGAUAGGAUGACAGGCCACACUGGAACGUAGACACGAUCCAGACGCCGACGGGAGGCAGCAGUGGGGAAGAGUUGACUAUGGGCACAAGCCUGAGGCAGCCAUGCAGCGUGUAUGAAGAAGGCCGUCGGGGGGUAAAGUACUUUCAGCGAGGAGGCGGUACUCGCAGAAGAAGCACCGGCUAACUCCGUGCCAGCAGCCGCGGUAAGGC